rnacentral:rRNA from 1 species
AUUGAACGCUGGCGGCAUGCCUUACACAUGCAAGUCGAACGGUAACGGGCCUUCGGGUGCCGACGAGUGGCGAACGGGUGAGUAAUGUAUCGGAACGUACCUUUCAGUGGGGGAUAACGUAGCGAAAGUUACGCUAAUACCGCAUAUUCUGUGAGCAGGAAAGCAGGGGAUCGCAAGACCUUGCGCUGAUUGAGCGGCCGAUAUCAGAUUAGCUAGUUGGUGAGGUAAAGGCUCACCAAGGCGACGAUCUGUAGUGGGUCUGAGAGGAUGAUCCGCCACACUGGAACUGAGACACGGUCCAGACUCCUACGGGAGGCAGCAGUGGGGAAUUUUGGGACAAUGGGGGCAACCCUGAUCCAGCCAUGCCGCGUGAGUGAAGAAGGCCUCGG